rnacentral:rRNA from 1 species
AGAGGAUGGGCAUGCGGCGCAUUAGCUUGACGGCGGGGUAACGGCCCACCGUGGCGACGAUGCGUAGGGGUUCUGAGAGGAAGGUCCCCCACACUGGUACUGAGACACGGACCAGACUCCUACGGGAGGCAGCAGUGAGGAAUAUUGGUCAAUGGGAGAGAUCCUGAACCAGCCAAGCCGCGUGAGGGAAGACGGCCCUAUGGGUUGUAAACCUCUUUUGUCGGAGAACAAAACCCGGGACGUGUCCCGGACUGCGUGUAUCCGAAGAAAAAGCAUCGGCUAACUCCGUGCCAGCAGCCGCGGUAAUACGGAGGAUGCGAGCGUUAUCCGGAUUUAUUGGGUUUAAAGGGUGCGUAGGCGGUCCGUUAAGUCAGCGGUAAAAUUGCGGGGCUCAACCCCGUCGAGCCGUUGAAACUGGCAGACUUGAGUUGGCGAGAAGUACGCGGAAUGCGCGGUGUAGCGGUGAAAUGCAUAGAUAUCGCGCAGAACUCCGAUUGCGAAGGCAGCGUACCGGCGCCAGACUGACGCUGAGGCACGAAAGCGUGGGGAUCGAACAGGAUUAGAUACCCUGGUAGUCCACGCAGUAAACGAUGAAUGCUGGUUGUCCGGGUCGAAUGAGACCUGG